CCANAGAUGGUUUGGUNCCUUCGGGAGCAUUGANACAGGUGCNGCAUGGCUGUCGUCAGCUNGUGUCGUGANAUGUGGGUUAAGUCCCGUANCGAGCGCAACCCUUGUCNUUAGUUUCCAGCACGUUAUGGUGGCACUCUAAGGAGACUGCCGGUGACAAACCGGAGAAGGUGGGGAUGACGUCAAGUCAUCAUGCCCUUNCGGCCUGGGCUACACACGUGNUACAAUGGUCGGUACAGAGGGUUGCCAAGCCGCGAGGUGGAGCUAAUCCCACAAACCCGAUCGUAGUCCGGAUCGCAGUCUGCAACUCGACUGCGUGAAGUCGGAAUCGCUAGUAAUCGCGAAUCAGAAUGUCGCGGUGAAUACGUUCCCGGGCCUUGUACACACCGCCCGUCACACCAUGGGAGUGGGUUGCACCAGAAGUAGCUAGUCUAACCUUCGGGGGGNCGGUUACCACGGUGUGAUUCAUGACUGGGGUG
rnacentral:rRNA from 1 species